AUGACCCCGCCCGGCUGGUUUUGGGGUGUCAGAACCUGCCUGGAGCUGGGGAUGGAGCGUGUGUGGGGAACUGGGGCCGUACUGGUGGUACUGGUGGUGCUGCGAGCCCCCUCGGCUGCAGGCGAGGAGCUCUCGGGGGUGUUCCAGAGCAUGGCAAAGUUAGGGUGUCACUUCAUCAACGGCACCGAGCGGGUGAGGUUCGUGGAGAGGCACAUCUACAACCGGCAGCAGCUGUUACACUUCGACAGUGAUGUGGGGGUCUAUGUGGGGGACACACCGUAUGGGGAAAUCCAGGCCAGGUACUGGAACAGCCGACAGGACCUCUUGGAGGUCAAACGGGCUACGGCGGACACGGCCUGCCGGCACAACUACCAGAUCGCCACCCCGUUCACUGUGAACCGCAGAGUGCCCCCCAGCGUGUCCAUCUCGCUGGUGCCGUCGAGCUCCCAGCCCGGCCCCGGCCGCCUGCUCUGCUCCGUGAUGGAUUUCUACCCUGCCCGGUGCAGGUGAGGUGGUUCCAGGAUGGGCAGGAGCUGCUGGAGCACGUGGUGGCCACCGACGUGGUCCCCAACGGGGACUGGACCUACCAGGUGCUGGUGAUGCUGGAAAUCCCCCCCCGGCACGGGGUCACCUACACCUGCCAGGUGGAGCACGUCAGCCUGGAGCACCCCCUCAGCCGGCACUGGGAGAUGCCACAGGACACCAUCUGCAGCAAGAUCCUGGUGGGGGUUGGGGGCUUCGUGUUGGCUUUCGUCUUCCUGGCACUGGGGCUCGGCUUCUACCUGCGGGAGAAGAGCUCCUGA